rnacentral:rRNA from 1 species
UACGUAGGGCGCAAGCGCUGUCCGGAAUUAUUGGGCGUAAAGAGCUCGUAGGCGGCUUGUCACGUCGGAUGUGAAAGCCCGGGGCUUAACUCCGGGUCUGCAUUCGAUACGGGCUAGCUAGAGUGUGGUAGGGGAGAUCGGAAUUCCUGGUGUAGCGGUGAAAUGCGCAGAUAUCAGGAGGAACACCGGUGGCGAAGGCGGAUCUCUGGGCCAUUACUGACGCUGAGGUGCGAAAGCGUGGGGAGCAAACAGG